UGGGGAAUAUUGCACAAUGGGCGCAAGCCUGAUGCAGCCAUGCCGCGUGUAUGAAGAAGGCCUUCGGGUUGUAAAGUACUUUCAGUCGGGAGGAAGGUGGUAAGGUUAAACCUUAUCAAUUGACGUUACCGACAGAAGAAGCACCGGCUAACUCCGUGCCAGCAGCCGCGGUAAUACGGAGGGUGCAAGCGUUAAUCGGAAUUACUGGGCGUAAAGCGCACGCAGGCGGUUGAUUGAGUCAGAUGUGAAAUCCCCGGGCUUAACCCGGGAAUUGCAUCUGAUACUGGUCAGCUAGAGUCUUGUAGAGGGGGGUAGAAUUCCAUGUGUAGCGGUGAAAUGCGUAGAGAUGUGGAGGAAUACCGGUGGCGAAGGCGGCCCCCUGGACAAAGACUGACGCUCAGGUGCGAAAGCGUGGGGAGCAAACAGG
rnacentral:rRNA from 1 species